rnacentral:sRNA from 1 species
UCCAACUCAAGCUUGCCUUGGAGGAUUUUGGGUCCAUAACAACGGCAACGGCAAGCGUAUUUCUGCCGGAUGUAGUCGCUUUGCGCAGGAGGGAAAUGGGAUGAAUACAUACUUACACGCUGUACCACUGCGUAUACCGUGUGUGAAGACGGUCUGAAAAGAUAUGCCGCUCCUUCCAAGAAGCACCAACAAGCUAUCUGCACUGUCGUUUUUCAUAGUUCGUACUUGAUCUACUCUUCUAGCACCUCUGGAUGCAUAUUGCAUAGAGCCGUUCCACGA